UACGUAGGGUGCGAGCGUUGUCCGGAUUUAUUGGGCGUAAAGAGCUCGUAGGCGGUUUGUCGCGUCGGCCGUGAAAUCUCCACGCUUAACGUGGAGCGUGCGGUCGAUACGGGCAGACUUGAGUUCGGUAGGGGAGACUGGAAUUCCUGGUGUAGCGGUGAAAUGCGCAGAUAUCAGGAGGAACACCGGUGGCGAAGGCGGGUCUCUGGGCAGUAACUGACGCUGAGGAGCGAAAAGCGGUGGGGAGCGAACAGG
rnacentral:rRNA from 1 species